AACUUUCAUUUUUUCUAUUUGUACAUGGCAGAACACCUUAGUUAUGUAAGAAUCCCUGGGCUGCUGUGAAGAGUGCCUAUGGCAGCAGAAUAAUGGUCUCCCGGAGGCGUACAUAUCCUAAUCCCUGCAACCUGUGGAUGCUACUUUCAUGGCAAAAUAAUUUUGGAACACAAGGAGGCAGAAAGAACUGUGUCCCAAUGUUGUGAGAAGAGAAAGACACAAUGAACCACUGCUGGCUUUGAAGAUGGAAGAGGGAGCUGCAACCCAAAGAAUGCCUCUAGAAGCAGGAGAAGGCAAGAAACAGAUUCUCGCCUAGAGCUUCCAGAAAGGAGCACAGUGCCAGCACUUUGAUGUUAGCCAUUCUUAAGAAGUGACUCUCCAGGGGAGCUAAAAUCCAUGUAUUUGGGCACACACUUGAACAAUAUUGCUAGAGAAAUUUAAGCAAGAGCACAAAGGCACUACGUUGUCUGGGAUGAUGGAAGGAGCUAAAGUCUUCAGUGAAUGAAGGAGCAGGACCAGGAGCUCAAAAUACUUCUUUGAAGACAAAGAAGAAAUGAUAUUACCAAAUGGUUGGCUCAAAAGAACAGGGAUUUUGCAACAGAGAGAGUAUGUCAUGGUCUUGAACAAGCAAUGAAAGAAUCAUCUGAAAGGAAUGUGGAGAUCAGAGAAAAAUGAUGGGAAAGUUACCACAGCCUGCAAAUGAGAAAUGAUGAGAGCCUGCCUGGGAUUGCCGGAGGCCAGAAAGUAAGACAAAUAACAGCUCACCUGCCUGGCUUGUUGGAGCAACAAGAAACUUUAAGAGCAAUCCUCCAUUUGCCAGGUUCCUUGGUAAUUAGACUUGUCAAUAGAACAGAUUUCUGUGUCCAUAAUGCAUAAGGUUAAGUAAGGGGAAGAUAACUGGAAAGCUGAGCUGGAGUUUGAAAGACAAGAUGUAUUUCAAACUUCCCUUGAACUUUCUCCAGUAAGUAUAAUUGUGUGCUUGUUGUCAACCCGGCCUUAGUCCUUGUCAUUACAGGUUCAGUAGCUGCAAAGGUGAAAUGUUUUGACAAAUAUUGAACGUCAUCUAUUUUAUACUCUGGAUCAGCAUGGAUGUUUUUUAGCUUCUUCAGACGGCUCUGUAAUGGAGUUAUAUUUGGAAGUUUCCCAGUAUGGUGCAAAAAGCCUCAUAGAGAGAGGAAGUUUAUAAACUGCAGUUCUACGCGAAGAAGAAAGACCAGAUGCUCAUCCUGCAUGACUCCUCCUUGAGCCUUUGUAUUUUCCCAGCUAGACCUUUCAGGCUUCCUAUUUAUACAUUUAUCUCAAGUAUACCGAGUGGUGACAAAGAUGCGAAUCGGCCAGCACAUUUUCACUCAGUGUAGAGAGAAGCCAUUUAAAGACUGAGAUAACAUUUCAAGAAAACAAUAAAACCUGACAAUAAGGGAAGAUGAGAAAAAAGGAACAUUCCUGACUGUGGUUCUGACAUUCACAAUGUUUCCAUCUGUUUGUUUCACUGAAAUGAUGUUCUCCCGUUCCUGUUUGGCUUAUUAAAAAGUGUAUAGGUUAAAAGAUCUGUUAAAAAUGGUCCAUAUCUGUAAAAUUGUCUGGAAAGAUCCACAGAAAGUUACAAGUUUUUUUCCUCUGGCUGCAAAUGAAAAAUAACAUAUGAAGAUCGUUUUAAAAAAUUUAUUCAAUUACUUCCAGUGUUAUUUUAUGACCCAGUUAUAUAUCAAUAAAAUUAAUAGGAAAAUUAUAUCAUAUAACUUUUAAGAGUCGUUCAUUAUUUAAACAGAGCAGUCAACAUUGGGAAGCUACCAGUUUAAGGAAAAAAGUUACUUAAGGUUAUUUCUAUAAGUACAUUAUAGAGUGUAUUACUGAGUGUUCUGUUACACUGACAGUUGUAGUGACAUUUACAAAUCCUAAAGUUAAAUUAUAUCAGUUUUACCUAUACAUUUGGAGUGAUCCAUGAGAAUGAUAGUUCAUGGGUGAUAAAUUCUCUUCCCAAUACUGUAUGGAGCAUAUCAAGAGUCAUCUCCUAUUAACUUUAUUCUCCUAAUCAAAGAGUGAAUUCUACUGUUUAACCCUAAAUCU
rnacentral:lncRNA from 10 species